rnacentral:rRNA from 1 species
UACGUAGGAGGCAAGCGUUGUCCGGAGUUACUGGGCGUAAAGCGCACGUAGGCGGACUCUUAAGUCGGUGGUGAAAUCCUGGAGCUCAACUCCAGAACUGCCUUCGAUACUGAGAGUCUCGAGUCCGGGAGAGGUGAGUGGAACUGCGAGUGUAGAGGUGAAAUUCGUAGAUAUUCGCAAGAACACCAGUGGCGAAGGCGGCUCACUGGCCCGGUACUGACGCUGAGGUGCGAAAGCGUGGGGAGCAAACAGG